rnacentral:rRNA from 1 species
GACGAACGCUGGCGGCGUGCCUAAUACAUGCAAGUCGAACGCAGUGGGGACGGGUGAGUAACACGUGGGUAACCUCCCAUCAGAGGGGAUAACACUUGGAAACAGGUGCUAAACCGAUACUGAUGGAUGGUCCCGCGGUGCAUUAGCUAGAUGGUGAGGUAACGGCUCUCCUAUGCCACGAUGCAUAGCCGUCCUGAGAGGGUGAUCAGCCACACUGUGACUGAGACACGGCCCAGACUCCUACGGGAGGCAGCAGUAGGGAACAUUCUGCAAUGGACGAAAGUCUGACCGAGCAACGCCGCGUGAGUGAAGAAGGUGUUCGGAUCGUAAAACUCUUUUGUUAGAGAAGCGGUAUCUAACCAAAAAGCCACGGCUAACUACGUGCCAGCAGCCGCGGUAAUUC